GUUUGAACUCAGAUCAUGUGCGGGGUAGAGGUCGAACAGACCUUGUGAAAAUAGCUUCUGCACUAUUUGUAGCCGCAAUUCAACAUCGAGGUCGCAAACAAUUAUUUUAAUAAGGGCUUAAAUAAUUAUAACGCUGUUAUCCCUAGAGUACCUUAUUCGUCUAAUUUAAUAA
rnacentral:rRNA from 1 species